AACUAGGAUAGAUAACAGAUACAGGGACAAAAUUGAAGUCCAAUGGAAGAAACUAUUAGGAAACACUUUAUAAAAUAAAAAGAGCCAGUUUUCUUUAGAAGAGCCCAUUCCGAAUGCAAAUCCACCAGUCAGUGAAGCUGAAUGAAGAAUGAGUUUGUUCAACAGCUUUGUCAAUACAGAUUAUAAUAUCUUCUGCUGACCCUUUGAGCAGGAUUAGUACACCAGUAUAUAAAUUCAACCCAAAGAGCUGUGAAGGAAUUUAAAAUUAUUUCAAACAUUUAUUCAAAUUAAGCUUCUCACUGUUUUUAUAUGCUUGGAGCUAUUUAGCUGUGCAACUAUUCAUACAAGACAGAACAAAGACAUGAGCAGCAUGGCUGCUCCCUUUCUACCGGAUUAUUCCUAAAAUAAUCUAUAUAUUGUGUUGGCAGAGCAAAACACUGCCACAGCAGCUAGACAUAAAGCUGAUUGUUUUUAUUCUGCCUCUCCGGUGGUUUCAUGACACAAAAAAUUUAGAAGCAAACAGAUACUUUCCUAUAAACUGCUGUUCAGCCAAAAUUUUUGAUAGAUACAAUUACAAUAAAAAAUAUCAAUGAAGAGAAUUUCAGCCUGGGCAAAGACAGCUAUAAUGUGAAGGCAGUACUAAAGGAAACCAAGUAUUUCUGCAAACUCUUUUAGUCCUUCCCAGCUGUAGCCCGGUAUUACGUUUUAAGUGAUGUAAAUUAACAGAGAUCUUUUCUAUCUUUACAAUGCAACUGUGCCUUACUGAGUGUAAUGCCGAAAGAUAUGGCCACCCACUGACUGGCACAAAUGUGUCCAUUCAGGGGAUCUAUGCAAAGUGCACUUGGUCCUUCAGCUGUCCCUGCUGGCUGACAAGGGUUCCUGGGUCCCAGGUUUACAAAAAAACCUCAAACCCCACUUUCAUGGCAGUUCAUCACAUAUGAACAAAGCUUUUAAAACUUACCUUGUAAGAAAUGAAAAAUAUUUGGUAAAGCAUAGGACAAGCCUCUUUGACAACAGAACUUUUUUUAAUACUUAUGUAUCCCUGAAAACAUAUAGCACAGUACCAUCUGAUAGCUGAAAAGUCCAAGCUGUUAUUUAAGGCCCCCCACUUCCAGGGCAAAGUCCCAGUGGUAAUGAACCUCACAGCUUCAGAUGCAGACAAUUCACAUAUGCAGCAGUCAGUAGCAAUGGACUGUUACGGAAUUCCAUGGUGGGACACAGGGAUUUAAGAGAUCUGUUGAUGUCUGAAUGAGAUGACUGUGGAAGAAAUUUAAGCACCUGGCUACAAAUGGUCCCUGAUCACUGGUCAGAAUCGGGCUGGGCUAUUCACCAUUGCUCUGGGACUACCUACAGUAGAGAUUGCUCCAAGCACUUCUGGCUUCACUGGGGACUGAAACACUUGGUGGCCACCCAUCAGGAGAGACUGAACAUUGUGGCAGAGGAAUCAUCUGUCUGUUUUCUGCUGCUUCCAAAUUAACUGCUCUGUCCUCUAGUACUGUUCUUCAUUUUAGAUGCUGGCUGGGGAAAAAAGCUACUAAAAGAACAUAUUGGAAGUCUGGAAGCAGUAUUGGGAAAACAAAACUGGACUUUGACAUGGACAUUGUUAGUGACAACUUGAGAUAGCAGAAAGGGGAAUGAAACCAUCUAUCUGGAUGUCAACCACGCAGUGUGUCGUGGCUUGGAAAUACUGAUCCGCUCUUCCGUGACACUGGAAGGAUGGCCCUUUUCCUCAGAAUGGAGUGAGAGUCCCUUCCCCCUGCCUCUGGCAGUGAUGUGAGGUGGUAUCAAAUAACAACAGGGUCCUGGCCUCACCCCUCAUGGCAAUUGCAAAAAAUUAACCCUGUUCCUGUCUGAAACCGGAACAGGGGCACAUGGGAAUUUAGUUAAGUGCAAAAGUUGGAAAUUAAAGUGCAGGAACUGUAACCAUGGUAAGAAGUUGGUUAGAGGCAUGAUGGCAAUAGGAAAAGUAGAAAGGGAAAGUAUCUGGCUGGACAGAGGGAGAUUACUGGAGUUCUUUUUGAGUAUUUUUCCAGAUUAACCUUGUUUACUGUUUUCAGUAAUGAAUUUGGCACGAAAAUUAGAAAUGUGAUGAGGAAACCCCUCAUGUUGCAGUUGGACAAGAUCAGAUCUCCAUAAAAGAAAUAACACAGGAGGAAGCAAGUAGAUUAAUAGGAGGUGAAAUGAGAUAGAGGUAAAUUAAAUGGCAUGUAAGUUUGUUCAUUUGAGUACUUGGAUUUUAAAAGUCAGGAGCUCAUCCAUGGGAAAUGACUGAGGAGAAGGACCAGACCACACUGUAAUAGUGGCUCUGCUACUGAUUGCUGUUGUCAGUGACAUACAGUUGCUGAGAAAGCAAUCCAUGAAUGGGCACUGCAAAAUCUUCUUAAUUUGAAGUGUCCCCACAACCCAACCACUCAUUUGCAUAUGAUGACCCAGAAAGGUGAUUAAUGUGUGGUUCAGAGGGAAGAAAAUGGCGAGACCUGGGGAAUAACCAGUGUGAUCAGAAGAGACUGCUGAGCUCAACCCAGUCUGAGAACAGCUGCUUUCUAUACACAUAUCACUGAGGAUGGAAUAGAGGACCUGUACAGAGGACAAGACUAGCACCAAAUCAGAUUGGUUGGAACUGGCUGUUAAUUAAAUUUGGCUGGAAAUUUGAAGAAUUCUUACCAAAGAGUAUUGAAUAACCUUUUAAAAGGAAUAUCAAGGGCAAAUAAAACACAUGCCACGAAUGGGGUAAACCCACUGUUUUAAAAUUGUUACUGUUUGGCCUCUAUCCCUACCAUAUGAUUUAUCUUACAGAUAUAACACUUUCUCCUGUUAGCCUUGUAAAGUGAAGGAUGAUUAAAUUUUUAAUGCAUAUCCUUCAAUUCAAAGAAAUAUUAUGUCUGUUUCUAUUUUAGGACUUGCUUCUUUCUUGUUAUCAAGUUAUCAAGUCCCUAUACUAGCAGUUUCCAAGUACAUGGAAGCAGAAAAUCGCUCUCUCACUUUCCUUUUUAAGGCUGUUGUAGAAAACAAUUAAUUAAUUUGUUUAUGUCUGCAUAUAUAGGAUGAGUGAGGAUGGCUUGUUUAUGUAUAAAUAAAUGACUGAAGGGAAACUAAAUAAUUUUGAAUGAAUGCUACAUUUGGAAUUUUUUUUGAAACUCGUGGUUAAUUUUGUUUCCAAGAACUGCUUCUAAAAUGUCAUCUCACUUGAGCUCACACAUUCACAAGCCUCCAUAUCUUAACAGUUUCCUGGGACAGCCAUCGUGAGAGGUCGCUGCCGAACAGAGAUGAUCAAUGGGAUUUCCAGUUUUUUCUUGCCAAGGGUUUGCCCCUUUGCCCCUUGGAAUCCAGAUUAGAGCUACUGUCUCUGAGGAGAAUGCAGUCUGGAACUUGUCCCCUGCUAGUAAUGGAAUUCAUCCUUCAGUAUUUGCUUCCUUCAUGCAGUAGGCUAUCACUCAUAGAUGUGAAGUAUUUUUGGUGUAUUCUUUUAAAGCAGUGAGACCUGAAAAUUUUACAUGUUGCAUCAAGAACAAUCAAGAACAAACUGGGCAGUGGACUCUGAUUUCCUGUGCAGUUUCUUCAGAUGAAAGUCCAGGCUUACACACAGACAGCUCAGUAACAGAUGUCGUCUCUUGAGAUUUAGGCUGGUGGGUGUAAGAAUCAAUGACAAAAAAUGUACAAUAUCUGAAAAAGAACAGGUACGCAAGAGCAUCACAUAAGUAUUUACUUGGAAAUUUGAAAACAAAAUCAAAUUAUUAAUUAAACAUAAAUUGCUUUGUCAGAGUAAUUCUGGAAGCAUUCUUUAUUUACUGGGAACUGCUGAAAAUAAACACAUUCCUGAAGCACCUUAGAAACAUGUUUUUUCCUUCUGAUCUGUGCAGAUGGUAGACUCCUGAUGACUGCUGCUUGGGAGAAUUGGGAAAUCAAAUAAGACUCUUUAAUAGAAUAUAGAAGAAUAACAGCAUUAUGAAGAUAUCUUACAUUAGUCAGUUCUCUGAGAAGGCUUUGCCUGGGCUUCAUCCUGGAGUGAUGUCUCAAAGACUGAAAUGUUUCAAAACCCAAAUAAACAAGAUUGUAAUGGAACAUGGACUAAACCAGUUGCUUUAAAACAGAGGAAUCUGGAAAUGACUGGGUGGGAAAGAAUGUAGAUAUUUACACCCUUUGAAUGUCUACAAACAAAGAAGAAACAGCAAGGACACUGAAGAAACAACUAGCAAAAGUAAUCAAAACUACUAAUAAGUAUUUAUUAAUACUCAUGAGAAACAAAGGAUCUGCCGGAAAAUUUGUAGGGUCUGCUCAUGGACAGGGUAUCAAAACAUGCUCAGAGAACACAGAGCAAUUUCAGAGGUGGUAGAAACUUUUUCUGCAUCACUGUUCAUGGCAGAAGAAAUGAGGGAUAUUCCUAUUGAAAAAUCAUUCUUUAUGGGGGACACGUCAAUUGAAGUGAUUCUGAAGGGAUGCUGGAACUGACUGAAAAAAUGAACAGUCACACAUCCUCAGGACCAGAAUGUAUUCACUCAUGGGAUCCAAAGGAAGUCAAGGAUGAAAUAGCUGAAUUACUAAUCAUGGUGUAUGCCCUUUUACUUAAAUUGCAUCUGUACCUGACGACUCAGGGGUAACAUUAAGUCUGUUUUUAAAGAAGAGAAAUUAAGAGAAAAUUAGUAGAAACUAUAAUAAAGGGUGGAAUGAAUGGUUAUGUGAUACAUCUGAUUUAACUGGCAAGAGUCAACCUUGGUUCUUUUAAUGAAGAAGUCAGUAUGGAUUUUCUUUGUACAGAGAAGCUCUUCAUUGCAAAUCUUUUACAGUUCUUUCCAGAAUUCAAUAUAAAUAUGGCCCUGACCCAGCGUAUUUACUCGCCAUCAUCACCCACGGACUCAGCAUCGUCACCCAGGGGUGGAUCUUCAGAGGCUCAGGAGAGCGACUGGACCUUUGCUGUGAGGGCUGUGCAGCCAGACAGGAGAAAGAAGAAAGGAAGAUCAGUGCUGCUUUGGGGAUACCUCCCUGAAGAUACUGGGUGGGUGGGGGUGGAUUUUCUUUAUAUGAGCAUGUGGUUUUUUAAGAGGAAGAGGGCUCUCCUCUCAUGACAGCAGCUCCUGGAAGGGCACUGACACCACAAUUUUGCACCGCAUGCAUUUCUAAAUGCUAAAUGCACUGCAUGCUUUUCUCAUUUACUGUCAUCAGUUGCUUUGUUCCUUUCUUUCUCAUGCGGGAAUAAAGACUGCCUGAGAGUUGUCUUACCAAAAUGACUGUGGAAGUAAUUUAUCUGAGUUGAAACAGGACCAACCAGCAAACCUCACAUCCAGGGGAGUGGUGGAGGAAGGGUGAGAUUCAAAGAGUAGUGCUGGGGUUUUUUUGCUUCCUAUGAUUCUCUUGCACCUAUGGAGAAUUUCAAAUGACUGAUUUAGGGCAACUGGAGGCUUAUUGCCAAGUACUUGAUCUGGUAAUGCAUCCCUAUAUUCUGUGCUGACUUGUGGGGGACUGAAACAAGAUUAUCCUCAGUGAAAUAAAUUCUCCUACUGA